AGGGCACCACCAGGAGUGGAGCCUGCGGCUUAAUUUGACUCAACACGGGGAAACUCACCCSGSCCGGACMCUGGAAGGAUUGAMAGAUUGAGAGCUCUUUCUUGAUUCAGUGGGUGGUGGUGCAUGGCCGUUCUUAGWUGGUGGAGCGAUUUGUCUGGUUAAUUCCGAUAACGAACGAGACUCUAGCCUACUAAAUAGUGAGUGGAUCGCCUCGUCCACUUCCACUUCUUAGAGGGACAAACGGCGCUUAGCCGUACGAAAUUGAGCAAUAACAGGUCUGUGAUGCCCUUAGAUGUCCGGGGCUGCACGCGCGCUACACUGAAGGAAUCAGCGUGCAUACUAACCUGGUCCGAAAGGACCGGGUAACCCAAUCAAACUCCUUCGUGAUUGGGAUAGGGACUUGCAAUUAUUUCCCUUGAACGAGGAAUUCCCAGUAAGUGCGAGUCAUAAGCUCGCGUUGAUUACGUCCCUGCCCUUUGUACACACCGCCCGUCGCUACUACUGACUGGCCGAUUUUGU
rnacentral:rRNA from 1 species